AUAUACAGCGCACAAGAAGAUGUGGAUCCUCCGCAGAGUGUGACACCGCCGGGAUCAUCACCACCGCCCAGAAGACCAUUUCCAGAAGCACCACCUGCUGUUAUUAUGACAACUGUAUUCCUCCAUUACCAACUUUGCCCCCAGAAAGCAAUGAAACCAAUGGACACAUCUGUGAAAACUGUUAUAUUAAAGAGCAGGAUAGCUGCGUAGCCAGAGAUCACAUCGCCUGCACCGGGAACGCAACGCGCUGUGUUUCUUACACAGAGGAAACCACCGAAGGGCUGUACAGAAGCAAAGAAAUCCUGCAUGGCUGCACCCACUCCAGUAUAUGUGACAGCGGAAAUGUGACCGUCACCCACGAUCAUAGGACCCUCCAGGAGACCAAAAUAUGUGGCCCUCUAGGAAAAAGCAGCAAGCAUCCCCCUCCCAUCCUACAUGUCUGCUUCAUAGUCCUGUCAUUGCUUACACUAGGGAGGGGAGGAUAGACUACCUCCGAGAAGCCGGAAAUACGCCAGCCCGUCUCCUCAGAUCCAGUGGAGGGUGGGCUCCGGAUAAACAGCGCCUCAUCUCCGCGGAUCAGCUUACUAGUCCGU